GGUGGGUUUAAAAGAAAAAGAAACAGAGAAGAACAGAGGCGGUGAGAGAGAAACAGAGAGAGAGAGCUAGGAGGGGUGAAUAAAGCUGAGAGCUCGGGAAGUUUACGGAAGAGGAAGAGGACUAAGCUUAGAGUUUUGAUCUGAAUGGAGUACACCAAAGCUAUGUAUCUCGAAAGCUUGAACUUGGUGAUUUACUUUUGGGAGUUAUCGCCAUGGGACUGCUGAUUCGGCGGUUUAUAAAUAAGACGCCUAGACCGCUGAUCCGGCGGGAUACAAAAAGGGACGCCUAGACUGCUGAUCCGGCAUGAUACAAAAAUGGACGCCUAGACCGCUAAUCCGGCGAGAUAUAAAAAGGGACGCUUCGACUGCUGAUCCGGCGGGAUACAAAAAGGGACGUCUAGACCGCUGAUCCGGCGGGAUAUAAAAUGGACGCCUAGACUCCUACUGCCGGAGGAUAAUGGGCAGCCCCCGCUUAUGAGACAUGGAUAUUGAGAGUUGAGGAUGAUAUGAAUGAGAUGUGCGGGGUCACGGUACCGUCUUAACUCAGUUGCGAGGAAAUGCAAUCCUAUGGCUAUAUUGAUUGGUUGUGUUGUAUAUUUUUGUAUGGUAUGUUUGUUGGAGAUGUGAUCAUUGCUGAGAUUCCUGGAGAUGUGAUGAUUGUUGAGAUUGUCUUUAGAUGUUCUGUGAAAGCUGUGUUGUUGCUAGAGUUUGAUCUAUCAGGUGAUUCUAUUGUGAGGUUCUAUGAAAUACUAAUGAAUGGAUAUUUGAUGUUUAUGUGACACUUGAUAUUAAAGAAAUAGUUGGAAGAGCA